rnacentral:lncRNA from 1 species
AGGCUGAUAGUCUAUGCAUUCUAGUGGCACUGAGUGGACUCCAGGAGGUUAUACUUUGUAAUGAAGACAUGAAGUGCUUUUCCAUUCGCCUUCCGAAAAGGAAAUGAGCAUCCAAUUCAAACAUAAUUAAAAUAGAAAUUAGCUGACGGUGAUAACUGAAGAAUGAAUCACCCGGUGCUGAAGCUGUGUUUCAUCUUAUAGACUGCUCCAGCCAGCCUUCACUGGACGUCACACAGCACUUUCAGAAAUAGACAUCCAAUUGAAAAUGUAAUGUAAACGCUCCUCUAAAUCAAUGUGUCUUUUCCGUUAGUGCUCAGCUCAGAAGUCAUCCAACUUUCCACAGCAGGCUGCAGAAGACCUGCUCCUGGAUAACACGCGUGUGGAAACAGAACCAGAACCACCACUCCAAAGGACAAAGUUCACUGUCGGCAACUCAAUUCAGCUACUUAAAGUUUGUAAAUACCUAUCAACUACAUUGAAGUUCAGUUUCAAAACUGCCCGAGUAGACAUCUCUCUUCCCUAUUUAUUGCCUCUCAAAGUCUGACUUAGUUUUAUUCCUCUGGCAAGCAGUUAAGCCACAGAAAAGAACCUGGAUUGGCAUUCCAUGAUCAUGGUAACACUCCCUGGCAAUGUCAGACUGCUUAUACCCCACAAUGUAUGAUUUUUUUAAAUUAUGAGAUAACAGUAAAUCUAAGAAAACAGAGAGGCCUUGUUUAGUCCACCUUGGAGAAGCCCAUGUUACUGUGCAGAAGGCAGAAUCCUCACACUGUGCUGAAAACCUCACUGUAACAAAAUGUCAGCUGAGUCAACUCGGUUUGAUCUGUAGGAAGCCAUUCACGGGUCAAGCACUAGCAAGUUGCUACAGCAACUGAAACAAAGGGAAUCCUGAAAAGGCAUGGUUUCCAUAGCCAGAAAAUACUCAAAAUCCAAAAACAGAACUGUACUAUUCCCAAGCUGAUGUUUCCAUUCCUUUGUGGUGAAUCUCUGAAUCAAAGAUAAGCACUAUUCAUUUAAAUUUAUCAAAGUAGGUUCCCUGCACUCUCAAGUCCCAGCAGUGACCAGGAAGGUUUCUAUCAAGACUUAAAGUACAUUUGCAUGCAUGCACAGCAUCGUUUUAGUAAUUGCAAAGAGCCUAUCUACUCUAAUGACAACAACGGGGGCUGGGGACAAUAUAAAUCAAACUUAAUGGCUUCUGCUCAGAUUCCUCUGAAGUUUGGAUCUGAAAUAGUAAUAAACUCUGCCUUUGUGAUUCUAUCACACAACAGUCCUAAGCCAACCAUGAACCGCCCUAGUGCCAAUGCUAAUAAAUCUUUCUUCCAGAGACACGGGAAUUUUCAGAUCAUCGGCUGCAUUUCAAAAGGAAAAAAGUCCUAGGAAGCAAAUUCAGGUUAGAGACAGUUGCAGACCAUGUGGUAUUCUAGAAAAGGAAAGGCAGAACUUUCAUCCUUUGACUUGAAAACCACGGGUUCUCAAGGUAAUCUGCAAAUUUUUCAACCUACAGAAGCGCUUGCUGGUUGACUCCAGGCCCUGGAUAGAAGAUGCAUUCCUUCAAGGGCUGCACUUACCACCGCCUCUCCCAGGAGAAAACCAGAUUAGAAAACCAGCAGCCCUCAGAAGCAUUUGCCUGGCUCUGCUCCGGGCUUUCCACUCCCCACAUUCACGAUCAUAUCCUAUUCCUGUAUAUGGUAUGUGAAUUUGGCUGAGUUGAUAUAAUAAAAUGAAAUGGAAUAAGCAGGGGC